AUGAACGCUGGCGGCGUGCCUAAUACAUGCAAGUCGAGCGAACAGACGAGGAGCUUGCUCCUCUGACGUUAGCGGCGGACGGGUGAGUAACACGUGGAUAACCUACCUAUAAGACUGGGAUAACUUCGGGAAACCGGAGCUAAUACCGGAUAAUAUAUUGAACCGCAUGGUUCCAUAGUGAAAGACGGUUUUGCUGUCACUUAUAGAUGGAUCCGCGCCGCAUUAGCUAGUUGGUAAGGUAACGGCUUACCAAGGCAACGAUGCGUAGCCGACCUGAGAGGGGGACAGGCAAAACUGGAACGGAAAAACGGCCAAAAACCCAAGGGGAGGCAGAGGGAGGAAAUCUUCCGAAAGGGGGAAAAGCCUGACGAGGAAAGGCGGGGGGAGGGAGAAAGGGUUUGGGAUGGAAAAACCCUGUUAUUGGGAAAAAAAAAAUGGGUAAGUAAAAAAGACGGUUUGAAGGGAACCUAAUCAGAAAACCACGGCAAACAAGGG
rnacentral:rRNA from 1 species